GAAGGAAGAAUAGAAGAAGAAAGAGAACUGAUAAACUCAAUAAUAGGCACAGAAACAUCCAAGAGCAUUUCUUUUCUCUCUCCUCUUUCUUUCUUCUCCUCUUUGUCUUCCUCUUCUUUCUCUUCUUUCUCUUCUUUCUUUUUGGGAAGAUAAACAGUCAUCUUAACAGGUCUCACAGCCAAGAAAAUCAAAAAUUUGUCUUGUUUUUGUAUGAGUUUUGAGUACACUUUCUCUUCAUCACCAAUCCAAGAGAUAG
rnacentral:RNase_P_RNA from 13 species